CAAAGAAAGGAGAUUUUAACUCCCACCCUUAACUCCCAAAGCUAAGAUUCUCAUUAAAACUAUU
rnacentral:tRNA from 1 species